rnacentral:rRNA from 1 species
UACGAAGGGGGGCUAGCGUUGCUCGGAAUCACUGGGCGUAAAGGGGUGCGUAGGCGGGUCUUUUAAGUCAGGGGUGAAAUCCCGGAGCUCAACUCCGGAACUGCCUUUGAUACUGGUCGUCUAGAGAUCGGAAGAGGUGAGUGGAAUUCCCAGUGUAGAGGUGAAAUUCGUAGAUAUUGGGAAGAACACCGGUGGCGAAGGCGGCGAGCUGGUCCAUUACUGACGCUGAGGCGCGACAGCGUGGGGGAGCAAACAGG